GGGCUAGGCCUGCACUGCUCAGAAACUUCCGUUGCGGUUGGCGUACGAGAACGUAGCGACGGCGGCAAGAUGAGCAUGCAGCUGGUGGCCUUGGCUGUGUUGCUGAUGCUGGCAUUGUGUUUCACGGUGCUGCAGGCGCAUCCGGUGGCAGAGCCGCACUGGGGAUGGAGCGGUUGGAACCACUACCAUUGGCACCACCCGCACCCUCAUUGGUGGCAUUGGUGGUGACUGUGACUACCGAUAAGUGGCAUCACGACUCCUACUACUGAGACAACGUUAUGAUGGCUUCUUGGUUAUUUCUGCAUAAUAUACUUUGAGUCUAACAAUAAUAACGACUAUGGGCGCAUUUUCUUUGACUUUAAAUAGCAAACAGCAAGAAAA